CCCGUCCUGCCUUUUUCCUAUGCAUAUACUUCUUUGAGGGUCUGGUCCAAAGAGGUAUAGCGCAUAGGACAACGGCGCGGCGGUCUC
rnacentral:pre_miRNA from 15 species